AGGUCUGUUAGGAAACCUGAGACUUGGAGUGAGAAUCCCAGUGUGGAAAAUCAGGAAAGAGGUUAUUGAAUUCAUUGGAGAAUGAAUGCUGUUCUGAAUUUGUUUACCUCAACAAAUAGCUUAUACCUCCAAUCCUGUCUUGGCGUGCUCUGCUCAGAAGACACAAGACACACCAGGAGUGAUGUGAGGAAACAGAUAGUAAAUAUAAGGCUUUGCAACUGGGUUACUCAGGCCCUCCCUGACAAGGAGGAGCCCAUCUUGAGUGUCCCAGGAGACCUGGACCUUGUGGACAUCCUGCAGAAUGGCAUAUUGAUCCAUUACAAUGAUGACAUCAUGCUGACUGGGCAAGAUGACAAGAGGUUGCUAUACACCAGAGGGCUUGGGAAGACACAUGCCCUGCAGAAGAAAAACCUGCUCCUGAUUACAAGGAUAUGUCAAUUGCAGGGAGGCAGAGGAAGAAAUACAACAUGAUGUCUAUUGAACACAACUUUGGAGUAAGACCUUGGGACCCAACCCCUGUUUGCUUCAUAUACAAGCUUUGAGACGUGAUGAGUUUGCCUCGAUUCUCUAAGCCUCAGUUUCCUCAUCUGUUGUUGUGAGGGAAAUAAUGCAUGGAAAGCUCUUAACACAAUGGCUGGCACACAGUGAAAGUGCAAGACGUUAACUAUUAUCAUUAGAGUUUUCAAUUGGAAUGAAUAGGAGACUUAAAUUUGCAUGAUUGUACUUUUACAGUAAGCCAUUAAUGAUGCAUUCAUUUAGUUUUCUACUCCCAAAGAACAUAGAUUUGAUUAAUUAUAACAAGAAUUUAAAAAUAUUUCCAUUAUUCAGAAAUAACCUACAGAGUCUAAGCCUGUCCUUUCCUUCCUCCCUUUUUCCCUAUCUUUUUUUUUUUUUGAAAGAAAUAGCAAUUAUGUAGUCAGAUUCACUGGCUCUUUCUUCUUCUCCCUGGUAACAGGCUAAGUCUUAACCUUGAUUAGGCAGCAUUGCAUCUGAUCUAAGUUCUCCGCAGCUUUCAGCCCAGCCCCUGCUUCCCCAGGCUUCAGAGCACAGCUCUGCACCACCCUCUCUACCCCUGCUUAGCAUCAGAACAUUGCCAAAGCUAAGCAUCUAUAAAAUGUUUCUUUUGAAUAGUUGUCUACCUACUUGGAUAUUUUUUUCCUUCUUCCAGAGGCAAAAACUGGACCACUUAAUCUAUGCUGUAGGACAGUCUUGCCCCUCAGAAAAUACUUGAGCAUAUUAAGUUGUUAUGAAAUGGAUCUGAGAAGCAGAGUUCUGAACCAUGCCCAUGAAUUUCGCAGCCUCAUCACACUGGCAUUCUUUCAUAGCCCCGAAAUACUCUCCACUUGCCCUUCCUAUGAAUGCAAGUAAAGCAAAGCCUCUUGACAAAGCAAAUUAAGAGUAAUCAAUGGUUUGGGUUUUUUUUUAAAUUAUUAUUUCCUGUGACUCAAAUCAAACCUAUUUCUCAACUGUAAUGUAAGAAAAGAGAGAGAUGAAGUUGACAUUUAGGAAAAUUGAACAUUGAUAAGUAAAUUGCCUUCACUCAGUCUCUUAAGUUCUCUCUCCUUUCCCUCUAAACCACCACACCCCGUGGCCCUGCUCUCUCUCACACACACAGCUGAAGGUAUCUUUAAAGGGUACCUAUUUCCUGCAGAUCAUGCUUAUGUUAAUCUCACUUCAAGUACAGAUGCACUGAGGACAUUACAGGGUCAGUCAUUCUUAUCCACAAAGCUUUAGAUUCCACUACAUUAUUCAAACUGGACAAUGGACUUCCCCAUUUUGUGCCCAGACCUGCUCACUAAUAGAGUGACCUCCUUGUUAUGGGUGAGGAUAUAUUUGAUGCUAAAACUGCUACAAAUUUUUAUCAGCAUUUAAUCUUGAGACUGUGAAUUACUACAUCCUGCAUGUGUUGGUACCUUACUUUGAUUAAAAAUGGGAUAAAUCAG
rnacentral:antisense_RNA from 1 species